rnacentral:rRNA from 1 species
GAUGAACGCUGGCGGCGUGCCUAAUACAUGCAAGUCGAACGAGGUGCUUUUGUAGCAAUACGAAAGUAUCCUAGUGGCGAACGGGUGAGUAACGCGUUGGUGACCUACCCCAAAGUGUGGGAUAACAGUUCGAAAGAACUGCUAAUACCGCAUGUGGUUAUCGGAUUUUAGAAACUGAUAACUAAAGGAGCAAUUCGCUUUGGGAGGGACCUGCGUCCCAUCAGCUAGUUGGUGAGGUAAUGGCUCACCAAGGCUACGACGGGUAGGGGACCUGAGAGGGUGACCCCCCACAAUGGAACUGAAACAACGGUCCAUACACCUACGGGUGGCAGCAGUAGGGAAGUAUUGCACAAUGGGCGGAAAGACCCGUGAUGCAGACGAACGCCGCGUGUGCGAU